ensembl:snoRNA
UCCCACGUUACCAUGGAAGCUGUCUUUUUGAAUGACAGUCUUCCUUCCUAGGCGUGGUACAGCAAGACCUUGGUCUUAUUCAUUC